GCUGGGUUUGAUUCAUUGUUUCUGAACCGGCUCAAGAGGCUCAUUAAGAUUCAGGGUCUCCAGCCCAAGGCUCGGGAAACCCCUGAAGCUGGAAGCAGAUGGGGCUUCUGCGCACCUAGGUGGUGAGUCGCCGUUGACCUGCCUUUCCCUUCUGAUGCUCCGUGAGACUCAUCCCCCCCCCACUGGAGGGGAUACUAAUCGCCACCGCAGUGUCACCCUCCUUUCAUAAGACACUGACACAGGACAAAGGCCUCAGCACUCCAAAGGCUGUGAGAUCUGGAAGGGAUCUUGGACAUCACCCAGGCCAAACCCUCAUCUCCAUUUUACAGAUGCUCAAGAAAGGUGAAGUGACUUCCCAGUUCGCCCAGCUCAUACACGCCUGAGAUCAGAUUAAAGGAGGUCCAGCUCUUGGGCCAGAUCUCUCCUUAUGACCUACACUAGCUCCUAGGAAAGAAACAAACUCCAGGGAGGGCAGGGAAGCAUCCUGCCCUGGGCACGUGCUCACUGCUGCUGUUCCUCCUCAUCUCUGUCCUUACACUCCCUCCUUCCAUCACAUCUCAUGCCCUGCUGACUUCUGAGAUUCUGCUUGUCUAAAGGAGUCCUGUAUGGGUGUCUAAGGAUGUUGAGUGUGUGAAUGGCUAAAUGAGGAGGCUCAUCAUGGAGCACCAUGCUAGGCACUAUAGGAGAAAAAAAGUGCUUGGCAUUCAUGACCUGGAAUGGAAAGCCCAGUGAAAAAAUUACCAGCAAGUAAACACAGAGUGUAAAGUCUGAGUGGUGAGCUCCACCAGCUGAAGCCACGGUGCUAUUCCACGGGGGACAUCAGGUUGGAAUAUAGCUCUAGGUGCUAGGCACUAUGGUUUUGAUGCUGCCCUGGGGCUGUGAUCUCUAGUCUAUAAGAGGAAGAUAGCUAAAAUCGAGAUCUAUGCAAAAACUGGGCUCCUGUAAGAGAUAAACCCUCAGAGAAACCAGGACUAAAAUAAUACCAAUCACAGGCUUAGGGUAGGGACAGUUAAUCCUAUCCCGACUGGGGCUCUGAAUAGAAAAAAGUCUUCUGUGAGAAAUAGAAGCUCCAGGCCUGAACCAUAUGUGACUACACUGUCUGAAUUUCCACUGCUGGAAUUCCCAAGCUGUAAAAUUAAUAUAAAAAUAGGUCUCAGACCAAUAAAACUCAUGGGAUAUCAAGAGAAGGAAAUACAAAACUAUUUGGGAGGAAUGUGCCCCAGAGCAACAGCAUCUCACAGCAAAAUCUAAUCCCCUUUGAAGUUGCCCAAACAAUAAAAACGUUACAAACCACAUCGGGAAAUGAUAUACUAUUAGAGAAAGUCAGCAAACAUAUCAAACUAGUUUAGCAUUCCAAUAGCAUAAAACAAUGUGACAAUCUGAAAGAGACCUUAAAAUAACUACAUUUAAAAUAAUUAUAAAGAUGAAAAAAUAGAAACGUAAAGAAAAUGUAGGAUAUUGUGGAAGAAACAGGUAAAUUUGUUAAAAAAAACAAGAACUUUCUAGAAAUAAAAAAUAUACUUAUUAAAAUAAAGGCUCAAGAUGUGUCAGACAACAGAUUAGAUGAAGCUAAGCAGAGAAUUAGUGAACUGAAAGAUAGAUCAGAGGAAAUUACACCAAAUGUGGCAUGGAAAGAGGAGAGAGAAAAAAAUGUGAAGAAGAAGCCAAAGCCAUAGAGGAUAAAAUGAGAGAAUCCAAAUUACCUUUACAGGGAGUUGGAGAGGAGAAGAAUAUAGAGAAUAGGACAUGGCAACAUUCAAUUUUCCAGAAUAGAUUAAAGGACACUGUCCUCAGAUUAAAGAAACAUUGGGAUUUCUGGGGAAAAUACAUAAGAAUAAAUCCACAGAGAUAUGUGAGAGUGAAACUGGAUUUGAGGAAAUACAGCCAGUGUGUGGAGGGAAAGAAAAUUUUAAGAGGUUGAAAAUAUGGUAAGGCUGAUGAGAUUUAAGAAAUAGGAAGAAAAUAUGAGGUUUCAGGCUCUCUGAUUAGUUUCUAAGUGGGUUUUAAUGCAAUUUGUUUUGAAUUAAGUUACCCCCCUUUUUUUUUAUUAGACAGAGUCUCGCACAGGCUGUGGUGCAGUGGCAUGAUCUUGGCUCACUGCAAGCUCUGACUCCCUGGUUCAAGCAAUUCUCCAGUCUCAGCCUCCUGAGUAGCUGGGAGUACAGGCAUGUGCCACCACACCCAGCUAUUUUUUUUUUUUUUUUGUAUUUUUAGUAGAGGUGGGGUUUCACCAUGUUGGUCAGGAUAGUCUUGAUCUCCUGACUAUCCACCCACCUUGGCCUCCCAAAGUGCUGGGUCUACAGGCGUGAGCCACUGCACCCGGCCAAAUUAAGUUACUCUUAAGACUCUAGAUACUUGUCUGUAAACCAAAGAUUUCAGGGGAAGCUCUCCUUGCCUGCACAUUUAUUUCUAGUUUCUGUUCUUCCCAGUUGGAUCCCCUGCCCUGUCCAUGACUCUUUAGUCCUGGCCAGGCAAAAGUUACCCAGCUGAUCCUAUUCCACUCAGAAAUCCACUCAUAAUCACUAUAUUGCCCUUUGAGGCCUCUCCUUCCUGUUGGGGGCUGAGUUGAAAUUGGACUAUCCAACCUUCCUGUCUCUACCUGUGGUCCUUGAAGUGGACAGCAGGGGCAUGCCCUACUGCAUCUGUGCCUGGUUAGCAGUGUCAGUGGCUUCAGAGGAACAGAAAAAUCUGGGCAUGAUAAUUGGCUCAUGAAAGCUGCAUGUUGCUGGAGGGGGUAGGAGGGUCUGGAGAGGAAGGGGAGCAGGCUUAAUGGGAAGCAAAUGCUGCAGAAGAGCCUGUGCACAUCCUCCCCCCAUUCACGGCCAUUAGCAUUCCUCAGACACCUGCAGGCACUUGGCCCUGGCUGGGCAUGGGAUGUGCUGGCUCCUCCCUGCUGGCUCAUAGAACAGAAAGAUGAAGUUUGGUUCUCAUUAAGGGGGCAGGGGUGGACGUGAGACAGGAGAACUCUUUCUUGUCUCUUUUAAGAGCACGUGUUUUUCUUCGGUUGUUGUCAAAUUCUGCUUCAUCUUACGGUUGUUUAUGGCGUCGGAGAAAGAGCACUGGACUUUGGGUUGAGUACCAGAUCAACCAUUCCUAGCUUUGUAACCGUAGAAACAGCACCAAAUCUCUCUAAUCCUCAGCUUCCUCCUGGUUAGGAAUAAUGGAGGAAUAAUUUUUACCAAACAGGAUUACUUUGAAGAAUAAAUAAGGCAGACCAUUCGAAGGCAGAGAACAGCACGAUUACGAAAUGGACACUCAAAAACUUUGAGUUUCCUUUAUCCCAGAUCGUAAAUAUCUUUGGAGAAGGAAUGUGUCUUAUGCAUCUUUGUAACCCCCAAGGUGCCUGUCGCGGUGCCAGACACCCAGAGUAGAAGAUUUAGUCAAUGGGGGUGCAGUGCCUCCCCAUGCUAAGCUCCCUCACCCUCCCACUGGGACAGGACAAAGGUCAGCUCAGAAGCCAGAUGCCAAGAAGAAAAACGACCAGGUCCUUGAAGAGUCAUUGAAAUGGGCCUGUGGCAAAGCAGCAAAGGGGCAGGAUUUCUAUGAAGCCACUUGAAGAACCUACUCCGUCUGGGUGCUGGGGGACUUGGUGCUGCAGGAGGCGGAGGGGACUGCACCGACAGAGGCACCCAGCCCUGUCCAGGGAGGGAUGGCAUCUUCCUCUACUCCCACCCCCCACUUGCAGGUGCUGGCUUCUGGAGGAUGCUGUGGUCUCUGGGGCUGGCUCUCCUUCAGCCUUGAAGACCUCUCUGGCUGGGGCUUCUGUCCACCUGCUCUCCAGCUGCUGCUGCUGGAGGCUUGGUUGACUUAGGCAUCUUCCAUGCAUCUUUAAUCUGUCUUCACUCAGUGCCAAACAUCUGCAGAGGGGAUCUACUGGCUGUUUAUUUUCUGUUUGUCUUGGGUGUGACACAAUCUCUAUUCUUCACUUUAAUGGCUCUUCUCUUUAUGAUUAUCAUCUCAACCCCUCUGUUUAUUUGCUUUCCCCAAACACCAACCACUUUCCCUCUGCUCUCCUAGAUUGGCCAAGGCCCAUGCCAGCCCUCCCUGCUUCCUCUCCUACCAGCUAAGGGCCCUGUGCGCCUGGCUGGGAGCCUCACUCAAACCAGAUGUGGUUUCCUCCUCUUCCCUCCUCCCUCCUCCCCCUCCUCCCCCUCCUCCCUCUCCUCCUCCUCCUGAAUUGCCCAGGGCUGCAGGGGGUCGGGGAGCAGAGAGGCUCUCCACCCACAUCCUGUUCUCCCCCUUCUGCUUCCCUGCCCAGCUCUGUGGCCCACACUAAGGAAGGAAGGGAGCACAGUGCACACCAGGGUACUGUUUAGUCCCUGUGAUGAGGGGUGGUGGACAGGGCUAAGCAGCACUCUACCCCUAAGAGCAUGGUCUGUAGGGGGCCUUGGUCCCGUCUCUGCAACAGAGCUGCGUUGGAAGGAUUUCGCAUCGUCCAUGCAAACUCAAGAGCACUGGUGGUGUCAAGGCCCCUCUGCUUCCAUAUUGCCCAAUGAGCAAUAUUUUAUAAUUGCACUUUUACAUCCACUGUCCCCACACCUUCACCACAGCCCUGGAUACAGGAUCCUCACCUCCUCAUCACGGAGGAAUCUGAGGCUUCAGCAUCACUCAGCUGAUAAGAGGCCAAGUCAAGAUUUGAAUCUAAAUCUGGUUUGAUGUGAAGAAUGGCCAAUUGGUUUAAAAACGGGUCCUGACUUUCUUGACCUGGCCUGGUCUGACCAGUCUCAACACCUGGGAAUGAACCUUUUUUGAUGAAUAGAGUCUGGGUUUGGGGUCAGCAGCCAUCCUGAGACACUUCUGUUUCUGGAAUUAUUUCUACCUCUGGCCAUAAUGGGUCACUGAAAUUCGACCUUUGGGAUUUCAGUAGAAGUGACAGAGAUGAUAUGAUGGCUGUCACUGUGCAAAGAACACUGGACUCUCUAAGGAUACGGAAUGCAAGAGAAACUGAAGAUGAACUUGUCAGAGGGGUGAGUUGUGGCAAAACUUCAGGCCCAAUACAAAAUCACCAAUUAACUGUUCAGCCGGGAGCAAGGCCAGGCUUGGCGGGGCCUGAGCUUUUACAAUGUGGUGGUGGUAGUGGGAACUCUUUUUAAGUAGAAGAAUUCACAAGUAUGAACACAAAUGUACCAGGAUUCCUCUCAGGAACUUGCAAAGAGCCUGUGCAAAGGCCAUUAGCUUACUGGAAAAUCUACCCUGAAUAGGGCUAAAGUGACAGAUUUUCAGCUAAAGCUGUAGUUUGGGACCAACUAGGACAGUGGUUGGUGGGCCUAAAACUCACCUCAGGCAUGUGUUCAAAUGCAGACCGUGCGUUACCCCUAGAAUUUCUGCCUUGGUGGGUCUGGGGAGGGGACUUGAAAUCUGUAUUUUUGUUGAGUCCUCCAGGGGAUUCUGAAACUGGACAAGUGAGAACUAAACUCUUAAGAAACACGGGGCCAGGAGUGGUGGCUCACACCUAUAAUCCCAGCAUUUGGAAGGCUUAGGCAGAUGGAUCACCUGAGAACAGGAGUUUGAGACCAGCCUGGCCAACAUGGCGAAAUCCUGUCUCUACAAAAAUUUCAAAAUUAGCGGGGUGUGGUGGUGUGUGCCUGUUGUCCUAGCUACUCGGGAGACUGAGAAGGGAGCAUUGCCUGAGCCUAGGAGGCCAAGACUGCAGUGAUCUGAGAUCAAGUCACUGCACUUUAGACUCUGAACUUUGAGACUCUGUCAAGAAAGAAAGAAAGAAAGAGAGAGAGGGAGAGAGAAAGAAAGAAAGAAAGAAGGAAAGAAGAAAGAAAGAGAGAAAGAGAGGGAAAGAGAGAAAGAAAGAAAGAACAGAAAAGAAAGAAAUCCAGUCCCACACUGUCAUGAGGAAGUCAGGCUGGAGAACAGGAAUGCUCACCAAAGUCAUACAGCAAACAGGGGUUGAAGGUAUAGCUGGGAUUGGGGUCCUGUCCCCAGUUUCUUGUUCUCUCCUCUCACCAGCCUAUCACUGAUCAGACUUCACUUCCUGAAGAAGGUGGGUUAUUAGUGUGGGGAGUUUGCAAAGGGGACAUGAAACUGGGCUUUCUCUAGCGGCUUCCAGAAAGAAAGAUGUCCUGGGCUACCUGGGUCUCCUGAAAGGUGACAGACCCCAUGGCCCCAGAGGCGGGGCCUAGAUCCCAGGGGAGGGAAACUUAAUUGCUGGCAGGUGCUUUAGUAGUGGGGUUGGAGCCCCUCCCAAAGUGCAAUGUCCAUGGGAUGGCAGUUCAAAUGCCUUCCAAAGCUCCCAGGUCAAAGGUCACCAUCAAAGCAUUCAACUGGCAAGGCACUCUCAUGAAGAAGUCAAAUACUGACUUGUCUCAGUAUAAACUCUGUUUGUUUGUUUGCUUUGGCCGGAGGUCUAGUCUAAACAUGCAAAUGACUCAUCCGCUGAUUAAUUAACCUCUUCUUCCCAGGAGUCUCUUCCUAAAACCCCUUAGCUAGCAAGAAGGCCAGAGGCAGGUAGGGAGGACUGAAGUUGUCUCAUCAUUGCCCUGAGGAACAGGGAGGACAAUGGAGAAAAUCGGGAAUGGGGAAGAUGGAGAGGUCUGGAAUGGUGAGAGCCGCGGUCCCUCCCAUUUCUGGGGAGCCCCCUCUGCAGGGGGACGAUGCGGCCAGUGCCCCUCCGUGCCAGCUUCACGCUUCUUGGAGGCCCCUGCAUCAACCCCACCAGGUCUGAGCCCUGUGGGGGAGGUGACAGCCUUCAGUGUGGAGGAAGCCAGCUUCCUCCUUGGACUAAAGGGAGGAGGAAAUGGAGCCUCUUCUCUGCACAGCCCCAGGGGAUGCCAUCCACGCAGUGUUCUAGAGUUGUGUGGCAGCCUGGCCUGCUCCUGAGAGCACCACUGCGCACUCCUGCCCUGUUUACAGUAAGAAAGGGCAGGGACAGGAGGGAGGGAGGGAGGCAGGAAGGAAGGCAGGCAGGAAGGAAGAAAAGGAGGGAGGGAGGGAGGCAAGGGGAGCAGGAAGGAAGACAGGAAAGGAAGGAAGGGAGAAGGAAGGAGGGAGCGGGCGAGUCUUCCCUGAAUGUGCUGUGGGUCAGGCUGCAGGUGGGGGUGCUCAGGUGGGCAGCCAGGAUAGAGGCUGGGCUUGGCUGGGGUUGGGACAAGGAAGCUGCCAGAGGAGGGCCCAGCCCCUUGAAAGCUGCUAUUGUUUGAGGUCUGUGCUCGGAGAAGCCCCGAGUAAAAAGAGCUUGUUAGAGAGGCCCAGGCUGGAGACAAGCUGCUCUCAGAGAGCCAGUGAACCGUGCGAAAUGACUUAAACUAACAUCCCUGACUGCACUGGGCCGGACCCGGGAGUCAGGGCCGUGCGCUCAUCAGAAAUUCAUAGAAGGUGCCCUGCCGCUCGGCUUUCUCUGGCCGCCUUGUUCAUUGAGCGUUUUUUCUUUCCAGUCCCCCGGCUCUGAAAGGGAGACAGGGGCUGCCUGAUGGGGAAGAUCAAGUGGCCUUUGAAAACCUCUCUCGGAGUUUAUUAAACCCAGGGGCCAGGGCAGGCCAACCUGGAGGCCCAGCCAGGCCGGGCUACGCCCACCCCGGGCUCCCCAGAGGGGACCUGGCGUGUUCUCAUGUCCCAAACUUGGCAGGUCUGUGCAGAGGGAUGAUGGGGUGGGAGAGUGGGAUCCUGAAGAAGAUAGGAGGAUGUGAGGGAGGGGUCUGAGCAAAGGGGAGACCUGCCACCCCCAGAGAUGACAGGGCCUUCUCUCCCUGGGCCCCCAGGACACCCCCUCCUUCCUGCUGGAACUCGUGUCUCCGCGAGCUCUCCUGAGUGUUUGUGCUCAAGGUACACAGAGAGGCGAGUGGGGGGAGGAAAAGACUAUGGGGUCUCUGGGCUGCAUCACAGCUCCCUGACCAAGUAAGGGCAGGAACGAUGCUGUGCAGACGAUGCCUCAUUUCCAGAAGUCCCUCAGAAAAGGAGAGGUGAAAGACCUCCCCUGGCGAUGUCCAGGGUGCCCGCCCAACCCCCAUUGCAACACACAUCCCAGAGGGACUGGCCUUUGAGAGGGCACCCAGAGCGGCGGGCUGAAGUAGACUCGGGCACAGAAAACUUCCUCAAGAGGGCCUGAUGACCUGCGAGGCCGUCAAUGCCAGGGACGGCUACAGCGGAAGCAGCCUUCCACCAACACUCACAUGAAGGCCUUCUGGGUGCCAGACCCACCCCAGACACUGGGCACACAGGGUGAGGAAAGCAAAGCGGUGGGUGUGUCUUGUUCCUGAGAGGGUGUGGGACCCUCGGUCAUCAACACGGGUGAGUUCUAAGCCCCGCUGAGCCACUUCCUAGCUGGGUGACCUCAGACAGUAACUGUGCUUCCCUGAGUCCCAGUCCCGAAGGAGGAUGCAGAGCUGGUGUAGGGAGGCCUCUUCUGCACAUCAAACUACAGUAGCUCCUUUACCAGUUGACAUCCUGGGGAAUCUGAGGGAGAUGUCUUCUGAAAAGGUAACUGCUUGUUUAAAAAGUUGAGGCCGGCACACCUGUAAUCCCAGUGAUUUGGGAGGCUAAAGUGAGAGGAUCCCUCGAGGCCAGGAGUUCGAGACCAGCCUGGGUAACAUAGUAAGAUUCUGUCCCUUCAGGCAUGGUGGUUCACACGUGUAAUCCCAGCAGUUUGGGAGGCCGAGGCGGGUGGAUCAGUUGAGCUCAGGAGUUCGAGACCAGCCUGGCCAAUACAGUGAAACCCCGUAUCUACUAAAAAUACAAAAAUUAGCUAGGCGUGGUAGCCGGUGCCUAUAAUCCCAGCUACUUAGGAGGCUGAGGGAGGAGAAUCACUUGAACCCAGGAAGCAGAGGUUGCAGUGAGCCAAGAUCGCACCACUGCACUCCACUGCACUCGAGCCUGGGUGACAGAGCAAUAUCUCAAAAAAAACCAAAAAAACAAAAAAACAAUAAUUCUAUCUCUACAAAAAAUAUAUAUGUAUGAUGGUGGUGGUGUGCACCUGAGUCCCCGCUACUUAGGCAGCUGAGGCAGGAGGAUUGCUUGAGCCCCAGAGACAGAGGCUGCAGUGAGAUAUGAUUGCACCACUGCACUCCAGCCUAGGCGACAGAGUCAAACUCUGUCUCUAAAAAUAAAUAAAUAAAUAGUGGAAGACCAUCAGCCAAAUUCAUGCCCCUCCCACCUCCCCAGCGUUCGCAUAAGCAUUUCAUCUUUCUGUCUUGUUUCGUUUACAGUGGCCACCUUUCGGACCAUCCCUGGGCUCCGACGUGCCUCCCUCUGCCUGCAUUCCCACUGGAUGCCUCCGGAGAGUUCUUCUUUCCCAUUCCAGCUUUGCAUUUGGAAUCCAGUUCUGUCUCGACCCCUUUUUAAACUUUUCUUUCAACAAGUUCAAAGUCCUUUACAGUUUUUCCUGAGCUUCUUUUUCUCACGCAUAUAUAUUUUUAGAGAAUAAACAGAUGGGAAGAGUCUGAAGAUACAAA